rnacentral:rRNA from 1 species
GACGUAGGAUGCGAGCGUUGUCCGGAUUUAUUGGGCGUAAAGAGUUCGUAGGCGGUUCGUUAAGUCUGAUGUUAAAGAUCGGGGCUCAACCCUGGGAGUGCAUUGGAUACUGGCGGACUCGAGUACGGUAGAGGCGAGUGGAAUUCCCAGUGUAGCGGUGAAAUGCGUAGAUAUUGGGAAGAACACCGGUGGCGCAAGCGACUC